UUACCCACUCCCGGCACGGGGAGGUAGUGACGAAAAAUAACGAUACGGGACUCAUCCGAGGCCCCGUAAUCGGAAUGAGUACACUCUAAACCCUUUAACGAGGAUCAAUUGGAGGGCAAGUCUGGUGCCAGCAGCCGCGGUAAUUCCAGCUCCAAUAGCGUAUAUUAAAGUUGUUGCGGUUAAAAAGCUCGUAGUCGAAUUUGUGUCCCGCGCCGCCGGUUCAUCGUCCGCGGUGUUAACUGGCGUGCCGCGGGACNUCCUGCCGGUGGGCUUNGCUCGCAAGGGCGACGCCCAACUCAAUCCUGCCGCGGUGCUCUUCACUGAGUGUCGAGGUGGGCCGGCACGUUUACUUUGAACAAAUUAGAGUGCUUAAAGCAGGCUAAAACUUCGCCUGAAUACUGUGUGCAUGGAAUAAUGGAAUAGGACCUCGGUUCUAUUUUGUUGGUUUUCGGAACCCCGAGGUAAUGAUUAAUAGGAACGGAUGGGGGCAUUCGUAUUGCGACGUUAGAGGUGAAAUUCUUGGAUCGUCGCAAGACGAACAGAAGCGAAAGCAUUUGCCAAAAACGCUUUCAUUGAUCAAGAACGAAAGUUAGAGGUUCGAAGGCGAUCAGAUACCGCCCUAGUUCUAACCAUAAACGAUGCCAGCUAGCGAUCCGCCGACGUUCCUCCGAUGACUCGGCGGGCAGCUUCCGGGAAACCAAAGCUUUUGGGUUCCGGGGGAAGUAUGGUUGCAAAGCUGAAACUUAAAGGAAUUGACGGAAGGGCACCACCAGGAGUGGAGCCUGCGGCUUAANNNGACUCAACACGGGAAACCUCACCAGGCCCGGACACCGGAAGGAUUGACAGAUUGAGAGCUCUNUCUUGAUUCGGUGGGUGGUGGUGCAUGGCCGUUCUUAGUUGGUGGA
rnacentral:rRNA from 1 species